rnacentral:tRNA from 1 species
GGAGCUGUGCCUGAACGCCCAAGGACCACUUUGAUAGAGUGAAUUACGAAGGUUAAAACCCUUCCAGCUCCU